GAUGAACGCUGGCGGCGUGCCUCAAACAUGCAAGUCGAGCGAGGCUAUGAAUUACCGCAAGGUAAGGCAUAGCCUAGCGGCGAACGGGUGAGUAACACGUGGGUAACCUACCUGGAAGACAGGGAUAACGAUUCGAAAGGGUCGCUAAUACCUGAUAAUAUCCAUCUGCCGGAUGGCGGAGGGAAGAAAGGGGAAACCCGCUUUCAGAUGGGCCCGCGUCCCAUCAGCUAGUUGGUAAGGUAAAGGCUUACCAAGGCGACGACGGGUAGCCGGUCUGAGAGGAUGUACGGCCACACUGGGACUGAGAUACGGCCCAGACUCCUACGGGAGGCAGCAGUUGGGAAUCUUAGGCAAUGGACGAAAGUCUGACCUAGCGACGCCGCGUGAGGGAAGAAGGCCUUGGGUGUAAACCGUCUGUCAUGGGGGAAGAAGGAAGUGACGGUACCCAAGAGGAAGCCCCUGCUAACUACGUGCCAGCAGCCGCGGUUAAAGUGUGUGUA
rnacentral:rRNA from 1 species